rnacentral:rRNA from 1 species
GACGAACGCUGGCGGCGUGCUUAACACAUGCAAGUCGAACGGAAAGGCCCUGCUUGCAGGGUACUCGAGUGGCGAACGGGUGAGUAACACGUGGGUGAUCUGCCCUGCACUUCGGGAUAAGCCUGGGAAACUGGGUCUAAUACCGGAUAGGAGCCAUUUUUAGUGUGAUGGUUGGAAAGUUUUUUCGGUGUAGGAUGAGCUCGCGGCCUAUCAGCUUGUUGGUGGGGUAAUGGCCUACCAAGGCGGCGACGGGUAGCCGGCCUGAGAGGGUGGACGGCCACAUUUGGACUGAGAUACGGCCCAGACUCCUACGGGAGGCAGCAGUGGGGAAUAGUGCACAAUGGGCGCAAGCCUGAUGCAGCGACGCCGCGUGGGGGAUGACGGCCUUCGGGUUGUAAACUCCUUUCGCUAGGGACGAAGCUUUUUGUGACGGUACCUAGAUAAGAAGCACCGGCUAACUACGUG